rnacentral:rRNA from 1 species
GACGAACGCUGGCGGCGUGCUUAACACAUGCAAGUCGAACGGAAAGGCCCUGCUUUUGUGGGGUGCUCGAGUGGCGAACGGGUGAGUAACACGUGAGUAACCUGCCCUUGACUUUGGGAUAACUUCAGGAAACUGGGGCUAAUACCGGAUAGGAGCUCCUGCUGCAUGGUGGGGGUUGGAAAGUUUCGGCGGUUGGGGAUGGACUCGCGGCUUAUCAGCUUGUUGGUGGGGUAGCGGCUUACCAAGGCUUUGACGGGUAGCCGGCCUGAGAGGGUGACCGGCCACAUUGGGACUGAGAUACGGCCCAGACUCCUACGGGAGGCAGCAGUGGGGAAUAUUGCACAAUGGGCGGAAGCCUGAUGCAGCAACGCCGCGUGCGGGAUGACGGCCUUCGGGUUGUAAACCGCUUUCGCCUGUGACGAAGCGUGAGUGACGGUAAUGGGUAGAGAAGCACCGGCUAACUACGUG